rnacentral:lncRNA from 1 species
UGAUCUUGUCUGCCCAAAGAGUUGUCUGCUGUGAAUGAAACCCUGCAGACGGGGAACCCAAAGGGCAAGCGCCCCCUCACGGUUAACCGCUUCCUUGGCGGCCAUUGGUUCUUCUGUGUAUCGCCCGAUGCCCUUACAUGAACACUCGUGCGAGGGCCACGCAGGAUAGGGUUGCAGACUUGUAGCUGGCAUGUGUUUUGCACUAGACUGGAUUACAUGAAGUGGGAGGCUGAGAUGUUAGUACCAUAUAUGUUUUCUCUGCCAUUUGCGAAAAACUGGACUAUUUUGGUGUAACGACGAUGUAUCGUGUGACAUGUUGAGUGUCAAAGAAGUGGCAUUUGUUCGUUCCUUAUUUGCACCUCUGCCUUCUUUCUACUAUGAGAUUUUAUUUGGCAUCAUGUCCAAAUUGCAUGCAUGUCGCACGAGAUUUUAUUACUGGAAAUCAAUGUCCAUUAUUUGACAUGAUGCUGGAGUGCGACUCAGUCACAAACGACGCAAACGCAGUGACUGUCAAAAAUAGGCUCGCCGGUGCAGUAGGCUUCCUUGACGUGGUUCCACACAUGCUGGCACCAAAGUCGGCAUUUUAUUGUUAUGCACAGAAUGGCCCGUUCACUGUGUGUUUGGCAAUGCUCUGCAGACAACAUACAUACAUACAUCAGUAAAACAAUUCCAAAUUAAAAAGGUCAUAUUCCAGGCCCAUAUUCAUGACGACUUGUUCUACUCAGUUGGAAGUUAAAAGGAAACACAGUACAUAGGAAUAGAUAGAGAGAUCAAUUUCGUACCAGCGCGAGUGGAAUUUCCUAGCAGCAAAAGCACCAUAAGGCAAAGCAAGAUAGUUUUCCUCUCCAUAAGAUCAGGCACAGACUUCUUGUUCU